GGGACACGUGGUAUCCUGUCUGAAUAUGGGGGGACCAUCCUCCAAGGCUAAAUACUCCUGACUGACCGAUAGUGAACCAGUACCGUGAGGGAAAGGCGAAAAGAACCCCGGCGAGGGGAGUGAAAAAGAACCUGAAACCGUGUACGUACAAGCAGUGGGAGCACCUUCGGGUGUGACUGCGUACCUUUUGUAUAAUGGGUCAGCGACUUAUAUUCUGUAGCAAGGUUAACCGUAUAGGGGAGCCGCAGGGAAACCGAGUCUUAACUGGGCGUUAAGUUGCAGGGUAUAGACCCGAAACCCGGUGAUCUAGCCAUGGGCAGGUUGAAGGUUGGGUAACACUAACUGGAGGACCGAACCGACUAAUGUUGAAAAAUUAGCGGAUGACUUGUGGCUGGGGGUGAAAGGCCAAUCAAACCGGGAGAUAGCUGGUUCUCCCCGAAAGCUAUUUAGGUAGCGCCUCGUGAACUCAUCUUCGGGGGUAGAGCACUGUUUCGGCUAGGGGGUCAUCCCGACUUACCAACCCGAUGCAAACUACGAAUACCGAAGAAUGUUAUCACGGGAGACACACGGCGGGUGCUAACGUCCGUCGUGAAGAGGGAAACAACCCAGACCGCCAGCUAAGGUCCCAAAGUCAUGGUUAAGUGGGAAACGAUGUGGGAAGGCACAGACAGCCAGGAUGUUGGCUUAGAAGCAGCCAUCAUUUAAAGAAAGCGUAAUAGCUCACUGGUCGAGUCGGCCUGCGCGGAAGAUGUAACGGGGCUAAACCAUGCACCGAAGCUGCGGCAGCGACACUAUGUGUUGUUGGGUAGGGGAGCGUUCUGUAAGCCUGCGAAGGUGUGCUGUGAGGCAUGCUGGAGGUAUCAGAAGUGCGAAUGCUG
rnacentral:rRNA from 1 species